AUUGAACGCUGGCGGCAUGCCUUACACAUGCAAGUCGAACGGCAGCACGGGAGCAAUCCUGGUGGCGAGUGGCGAACGGGUGAGUAAAGUAUCGGAACGUGCCCAGUCGUGGGGGAUAACGUAGCGAAAGCUACGCUAAUACCGCAUACGAUCUAUGGAUGAAAGCGGGGGAUCGCAAGACCUCGCGCGAUCGGAGCGGCCGAUAUCAGAUUAGGUAGUUGGUGGGGUAAAGGCUCACCAAGCCGACGAUCUGUAGCUGGUCUGAGAGGACGACCAGCCACACUGGGACUGAGACACGGCCCAGACUCCUACGGGAGGCAGCAGUGGGGAAUUUUGGACAAUGGGCGAAAGCCUGAUCCAGCCAUGCCGCGUGCAGGAUGAAGGCCUUCGGGUUGUAAACUGCUUUUGUACGGAACGAAAAGGUUUGGCCUAAUAAGCUGAGCUCAUGACGGUACCGUAAGAAUAAGCACCGGCUAACUACGUGCCAGCCGCCGCAGUAA
rnacentral:rRNA from 1 species